rnacentral:ncRNA from 1 species
CUGGCGGGACGACCCCCGGGCGCGGUGGACCUUGCGGGACGACCCGC